AGAGCGAACGCUGGCGGCAGGCCUAAUACAUGCAAGUCGAACGGACCCUUCGGGGUUAGUGGCGGACGGGUGAGUAACACGUGGGAACGUGCCCUUUGGUUCGGAACAACUCAGGGAAACUUGAGCUAAUACCGAAUGUGCCCUUCGGGGAAAGAUUUAUCGCCAUUGGAGCGGCCCGCGUCUGAUUAGCUAGUUGGUGGGGUAAAGGCUCACCAAGGCUACGAUCAGUAGCUGGUCUGAGAGGAUGAUCAGCCACACUGGGACUGAGACACGGCCCAGACUCCUACGGGAGGCAGCAGUAGGGAAUCUUGCGCAAUGGGCGAAAGCCUGACGCAGCCAUGCCGCGUGAAUGAUGAAGGUCUUAGGAUUGUAAAAUUCUUUCAGCGGGGACGAUAAUGACGGUACCCGCAGAAGAAGCCCGGCUAACUUCGUGCCAGCAGCCGC
rnacentral:rRNA from 1 species